CAGAGAGAAAAAAGAGAGCGCGAUCCGCUUCGGGCUUCCCUUUUUCGCGCCCUAAUCUGCACUCAUUUGCGAUUUUUCUUCCUGAUGAUUUGAUGGAACUGGAAGAUCAUUUGACGAUAAACGGAUCAUAGACAGCGCGCGGACCUUCGAUCUUAGGAUCAGGAUCAGGCUCGUAGCUGUUGCUGUGUAAUAGGUUCUCGACAGAAAUUUCAAUGGCGAUAUUCUUAGCGUGUUCGAAUUUCUAUAUGUCUUCGAUACAAUGAAAUGCGAUGCUACUCUGGUUCAAAUUAUAAUCUUCCAACCGAAAACUGAUUAGCUUUGAUUUCGAACUUCGUAUAUGAAAUAGUAUCGAAGGAAAGCAAAGGUUAUCUACUAGCACACCUUGAGCUGAAUGUGUCCUUUACACAGACAAUUGAAUUUGAGAUGUCUCCUGUUUCAGAAAGGUAACGAAGCACGUUUUAGAUGUAAAAUGACCGUUUACUAUCAUCCAAUACGCGUUGUCUGUUCAUUGAAUUGUCAUUUCCACACUUUGGGGCAAAUUAUUUCACUCAGUUGAGUUUCUACUUCUGUAAUUUAUUUGGUUUUCAAUUGUUCUGCGACUCCUUGUAGUUAAUCAUGUCUGUAGUUAUAUUGCAUCCAUUAUGUAUCUAAUUCGAACAUACUUGGUUGUAAACUAACAAUGCAAGGAAGCUAUA